CGUGGCCUCGAAGAGGGGCGGGGCUCACGGACGGGGCUCAGGACGGGGGCGGGGCCUCAGAGAGGGGCGGGGCCUCGCGGGUCGGGGGCGGGGCCUCGCGGGCCGGGGGCGGGGCACCCUCCGUCCGGGGCGCGAGCCCAGCGGGUGCGCCCGCGCAUGCGCAGGCGGCGCGGCCGUCGCGGUCUCCGGUGCCCGCGGCGUCCGUGGCCCGGCGCCCCCGUCCCCGCCACCUGUGCCCGCGCGCCGAGGUCCGCGAGGGGGCGCCGCCGAGGUGGGGGCGGGGCGGCCGGCCGGGAGCUCCGGGGCCCGGCGCGGGCGGCGGCGGCGGCGUCAUGGCGGCCAUCCCGUCCGGCGGCUCGCUCGUGGCCACGCACGACUACUACCGGCGCCGCCUGGGCUCCGCGUCCGGUAACAGCGCGUGCGGCGGCGCCGACUGCGCGGGGGAGGCCGCCCCGCAGCGCCCCGGCGAGGGCAGGCCCCCCACGGCCGCCGCGGGCCCCUGGUGGGCCGGCUUCUUCUCCGGGAGGUCCGCGCUCGCGUCCACGGCCACCGUGCUGCAGUCGCCGGCGCGGUGAGUGCUCGGCCGGGCGCGGGCGGGCGGGGGGCGGGCGGGCGCCUCUGAGCCAGGCUCUCCCCCAGCCCGCAGCCUCCCCAGGCCUCCGGCGGCGCCGGCACCGGCGACUCGGCCCUGCGAGCCGCGAGGAAGCAGCCCGGGCGCCAGCCUGGCCAAGCCGACCCCGGGCCGCCGUCCUGAGCGCCAGCACCGCUUCCGAGGCUUCCGAGGCUUCCGAGGCUUCCGAGGCGCCCGGCUCGUCGGGGGGCCUGGCUCACCCCCUCCCUCCCCUCCCCUCCCCUCCCCUCCCCUCCCGCCCUGCCCUAGGGACCAGGCAGGCUGCGGCGAGCACAAGCUGUUGGGUUCUUUUGUAUCAAAAUAGCACAACACCAAAAAGGAAGUUGAGAGAAUCCCACUCUUUACUGUCCAAGCCGCACGCGAGCCUUCCCGACACCCUGGAACUGUGUGCCUUGCACCAAGUGGAAAAUAAACUCCAAGCAGCCAGUGGCCCUGGUGGUGUGCGUGAGCUCUGAGCCGUGUGCCCCGGGGCCUGGGGUUGAAGUCACCAGACCCUUCUCAGCCUCACUUCCUGGCGGGGGCGAGGAGCUGGCCUUGCUCCCUGGGCCGUCCCCCGGCCCCUCACUGGGGAGCCCCCUGCCAGGUCCGGCCCAGGCUGAGGCCGGCAAGCUGCUUCCACAAGUGUGGGGCCUUGGCUGCUGAGGGGGUGGGAGCCGGGGAGAGCAGGCUCAGGAGUUGGACAGGGAGCCUCCCCUCAGGGCCCUGGGCUAGAGGGAGCUGUGCCCCUGCCCCCCACUCGUGACUGCAGGGAGGGAACAGGGCCAGACUGUCUCCAGGAGCCUUCCUAUAACGGUGGUGCCUCUUCUAGGCCGUUGUGGGACACGUCCUGGGUACAGGGAGCCAAAACUAACGCUGAGUGGCAAGGGGGUAAAGGGGUGUCCCAUUCCUCACAGGUGACCCAGCUGUGGACCAGCUCCAACCAGGGACCUGGGGAGCCUGUGCUCGUGUCCUCCUGGGCGGGCGGGCCGGUGCACAAGCAGUGCCCACACACCGCAGCGGCCAGCGCAGAUUGGCCCGGCUGUGCUGGUCAGGAGAGGGCAGCCUCGGGAGGGAGGUCAGGGGCUCUGCUGGCUGCGCUCCUGCCCCUCUUCCCCGUAGUGGGCUAUAAAUAGCUGCGCACCAGCAAUCGCAGGUGUGGGCAGAGCCUGCGGUUCCCUGGGGCUGCAGCCCCGUCCUGUCUGCUCUGUCCAGGCAGGAGGCUGGCUAGGGAGGCCAUCCCCACCUCAUCAGAUGGACCCAGGGUGGGAUAGGGGCCCCAGAGGGUCGCCUGAGAGCUGCUCGGGCUGUGUCCAGAUGAGGCCCUCCAGCUGCUGAUUGCCAUGGCAGGAAGGCAGGGACGGCGCCCAGCCCCGGCUGGCAGACAGCAGAGCCCCAUGAGCCAACAGUCCGUCCUGGGAAGUCUCUGUCCCUCCCCCCCCAGUCAGGAGGAGGCUUGGGCCACAUGGCACAGGGUGA
rnacentral:lncRNA from 1 species